GAUGAACGCUAGCGGCAGGCUUAAUACAUGCAAGUCGAGGGGUAACAGAGAAAGCUUGCUUUUUGCUGACGACCGGCGCACGGGUGCGUAACGCGUAUGCAACCUACCUAUAACUAAGGGAUAGCCCAGAGAAAUUUGGAUUAAUACCUUAUAGUACUAGAGAUUCGCAUGAUGAACUAGUUAAAGAUUUAUCGGUUAUAGAUGGGCAUGCGUUAGAUUAGCUAGUUGGUAAGGUAAUGGCUUACCAAGGCAACGAUCUAUAGGGGGUCUGAGAGGAUGAUCCCCCACACUGGCACUGAGAUACGGGCCAGACUCCUACGGGAGGCAGCAGUAGGGAAUAUUGGUCAAUGGAGGCAACUCUGAACCAGCCAUGCCGCGUGAAGGAAGAAGGCUUUCUGAGUCGUAAACUUCUUUUAUAUGGGAAGAAACCACAUUACGUGUAAUGUAUUGACGGUACCAUACGAAUAAGGACCGGCUAACUCCG
rnacentral:rRNA from 1 species